rnacentral:rRNA from 1 species
GUUCCUACGGGGGGCAGCAGUGAGGAAUAUUGGUCAAUGGGCGGGAGCCUGAACCAGCCAAGUCGCGUGAGGGACGACGGUCCUAUGGAUUGUAAACCUCUUUUGUCGGGGAACAAAGGCGUCCACGGGUGGGCGGAUGAGUGUACCCGAAGAAAAAGCAUCGGCUAACUCCGUGCCAGCAGCCGCGGUACUACGGAAGGUCCGGGCGUUAUCCGGAUUUAUUGGGUUUAAAGGGAGCGUAGGCGGGCCGUUAAGUCAGUUGUGAAAGUUCGGGACUCAACCCCGGAAUUGCAGUUGAAAC